rnacentral:rRNA from 1 species
UAACGGAGAGUGAAGCGGCAACAGCUCAAAUUUGAAAUCUGGCCUCUUUCGGGGUCCGAGUUGUAAUUUGUAGAGGAUGUUUUGGGUACCGCGCUGGUUUAAAUUUCUUGGAACAGAAUGUCAGAGAGGGUGAGAAUCCCGUCUUGGACCGGCGUAGGGCCCGUGUAGAACUCCUUCGACGAGUCGAGUUGUUUGGGA